GCGGCAAUGGUUCAGUAGUAGAGCCCCCGCUUCGCGUGCGGGGAGACCAGGGUUCGAUUCCCGGCUGCUUCC
rfam:Toxocara canis scaffold1296, whole genome shotgun sequence.